ensembl:lncRNA
CCCCCCAUACCUCUGCUCACUGGGGGCUCUCUGAGCCCGGUGCCCCCCACCCCCGUUGUGAUCGGUGCCCCCCUCCCCACUCCCUGUUGCCCCCUCUGGGGGGGGCUGGGGGGGUCCACGCUUCCCCGUGGGGGGGUGGGGGGGUCCACGAGCAGCACCGCGGGGGUCCUGCCCCCGGCAAUGGGGGGGGGGCACCAAUCCAGAGCUCAGACGGUGGGAAGGAUGGGGUGGGGGGCGACCACGCCGGGACCCCCCCCUCCAGCGAAGGCGAUGUAGGAAAAGGUGAGUUCCCUGGGGGGGGUCCAUACCGCCCCCCCCCCUCCAAUAGUGCCCCCCCCACGCCUUCAUCCUCCUCCUCCUCUUCCUCGGGGGGGGGCUGUGCUGCCUGCAGCUCGGGGAAGUCCGGCUCCUCGGGGCCACCUAUUAUGGGGGGGGGGAGGUAUAAUGAUGGGGGGGGGGUCACUUUAUGCUCCUCCCCCCCUUAUAAUAUUAACCCCAUAAUUUGGGGGUGGGGGGGGGUCUCACCCUCCGUGGAAUCCGGAGUGGUGGAGGCGGUGGAUGGAGCUUCUUCUGUUAUUGGGGGGGGGCACAAAGGUGUCAAUGGGAUACAGUGGGGCCGGGGGGGGGGAGCAUCACUAUUUCUUAACCCCCCCCCCCCCCAAAAAAGGAGGUGUCCCCCAAACCUACACCCCCUUUUACUCCCCCUCUAUAUCCCCUCAUAUGCGCCUCCCACUAUGGCUUAGAGCCCCCCCCAGUGCCCCCCCCCCACUAUGGCUUAGAGCCUCCCAGUAUGGCAUAGGCCUCCCUAGUGCCCCCCACUAUGGCUUUAGAGCCCCCCCAGGGCCCCCCAGUAUGGCUUAGAGCCCCCCCCAGUGCAUCCCAGUACCCCCCAGUAUGGCUUAGAGCCCCCCCAGCACCCCUAAGUAUGGCUUAGAGACCCCCCAUUGCCACCCCAGUAUGGCUUAGAGCCCCCCCGUGCCUCCCAGUGACCACAGAACAGCUUGCCUGUGAGUUAUACUGGGAGGCUCUGAGCCAUACUGGGAUCAUACUGGGAGGGCUCUGAUCCACACUGGAGGCAUUGGGAGCCAUAUUGGGGGAACUGCGAGCAUAACGGGGAGGGCUCUAAGCCAUACUGGGAAGGCUCUAAGGCAUACUGGGAGUACUGGGAACAUACUGGUGGGUUCCAAG